GAUGAACGCUGGCGGCGUGCCUAAUACAUGCAAGUCGAGCGAACAGACGAGGAGCUUGCUCCUCUGACGUUAGCGGCGGACGGGUGAGUAACACGUGGAUAACCUACCUAUAAGACUGGGAUAACUUCGGGAAACCGGAGCUAAUACCGGAUAAUAUAUUGAACCGCAUGGUUCAAUAGUGAAAGACGGUUUUGCUGUCACUUAUAGAUGGAUCCGCGCCGCAUUAACUAGUUGGUAAGGUAACGGCUUACCAAGGCAACGAUGCGUAGCCGACCUGAGAGGGUGAUCGGCCACACUGGAACUGAGACACGGUCCAGACUCCUACGGGAGGCAGCAGUAGGGAAUCUUCCGCAAUGGGCGAAAGCCUGACGGAGCAACGCCGCGUGAGUGAUGAAGGUCUUCGGAUCGUAAAACUCUGUUAUUAGGGAAGAACAAAUGUGUAAGUAACUAUGCACGUCUUGACGGUACCUAAUCAGAAAGUCACGGCUAACUACGUG
rnacentral:rRNA from 1 species